CUCGCAGGCAACUCUCCCGUUGUCUUCGGGUCCUCGCGUUCUUGUUGACGACGAUGAGACGAUCCGCCGUCUCAUUCCGUCGGUUAACCCCUCCGAAAUGAUGAGCACCCGUUCGUUUACCUAGUCGUUCCGGUUUGAAGAUCGCUAAGUCUGUUAAGGACGCAAUAUCUCUACCAAGUCGACCGGUUACUAGACUCUCCACUUAAUGCGCGGGACGUGAGUUGGGUCCGCGUCCAGCCGCUGUCCGCGGGAGGAACAGGGCAGUAGUAGCCGUUCCAGGCGCUGGUCUGCGCAUUGCAGUUGUUGCCGCUCAUACUGGGACUGGUGCAGCGGUAGCCGGGCAUGUUGAUGGGAGCCGGGGUCUCGUUCUCGGGCGUCGAGCGGUUCCUCGUGCUGUUCGACUACUCGGACCUGUUCCACCAGUGCCGACGGUUCCGAGACUCUGGGCCGUACUGCCACCUCCACCUGCAGAUGCAGUUGCUCGAGUCUACGGAGCUCUUUAGACACUCCCUGACGAUGCCGUUGCUGAAACUACUGUACUGCUCGCUCGUUAAGCACGCGUACGAGGAGGAGCUGCCGACGAUGUAUGAGAGGGCGGAGCAGCCGGAAGUUGAGCCUCGUGUUGGGUACCUGCUACGCCACCCCUGACGUUUACGUCCGCAGGACAGUCGCUUGUCCCGGCUCCGCGACCGGCACCAGGCACUACACAAGAUGGAACGUCUCUUGGUCUAUGGAAAAAAACAGGAACUCUUCUAACCCCUCGACUGCCCAAACCUGGUCACCGCAUCGGUCGGGUUAUGUGGUCCCACCCACCAGGUACCUGGUGGGACCGGUGGGGGAUCGAUGCGGUGACCAAACCUGCCAUUGUUGGCACACUAAUGUCUCUGACGGCUCAUACGAGAGCUAGAGUACUCCUCUGUUUUCAUAAGUCUCCGUCGCGGCCGGCACCACGGCUGCCACGGUCCGUUAGAAGAGGUAGAAGAAGUAUACGUGAACUUCGGACACCGUGGAUGCUAGAGAAGACGAUGUUGCCGGUUGCCGCGGUUGGGCCUCGGGCACGCGGCCACCGCGAGUCGCUGUCUUAUGAUGAAGCGGCCCCACUACAAGUUCGCAGCUCUGUACUCGCUCUUGCCCGAGUGCGCCACGUAGGAGCUGCACUUCGACUCGUCGCCGUCACCGUGCGACCUCCAGGGGACGAACCUGUAGCUGCGGCUCUGUACCGCGGACGACGCGUUGAACUACCUCGACCUCGUCGCCUUGGCCCUCUGCCACCCCUCGGUGCAGUGUCGCAUGACACACAAGUACAGGGUCCACCGAACGUGGUGUUUCCUGCACCUCGACAACUGCUUCUCUCCGUAGUAGCACGUACCGGUACCGUUGUUACUACUCCACCGGUUUACGAAGCGGCUGGAGACGUUCCCAUAAUACAAACUGGGAUUGCUGCGGGUAGUGUUGAUAGACGCCCUCUGUACGACGUUCGACCUCUUCGCAAAGGACUCGUUGGGCGCCUCCACCUACCGCACCGACUCCGUCUUCAUAAAGUUGUUGGGUACCGAACGGCAGCCCGAGGAUCGCCGACAGUAACCUGAUCAAACACCAAAGCAAGUCCGCCAGAUGAGACAAAACUCAAUGUUUGUCCCUACUUUAAUCGUUAGACAUGUAGUACAAGAUAUGUCCGAUACUUGAACCUAUUUUGAUCAUAACACACACCAUUGUCCAAGUGGUCUGUCAGUACGCACAGUCCCUGCAUUAGGAUGUCCCCUAAAAAGAACAAAAAUGUAGUACAAAACGCUCAUUGUCAUUUAUAACGUUUUAUUUUUAUA
rnacentral:rRNA from 1 species